UUACGGCCAUAUCACAUUGAAACACCGGCUCUCAUACGACCACCAAAGUCAAGCAACGUUGAGCCUGGUCAGUACCUAGAUGGGUGACCGCAUGGGAAUACUAAGUGCUGAA